rnacentral:lncRNA from 10 species
UCAAAAAAAAAAAAAAAAAAAAAAAAAGAAAAAGAAAAAGAAAAACACUAUCGAGAGAAUAAAAAGACAAAUCACAGACUGGGAGUAAAAAUUUACAAAAGCUAUAUCUGGUGAAGAUACAUUUGUUAUCCAAAAUAUACAAAGAACUCUCAGGACUCAAUAAUAGGAAAACAAAUAGUCUAACACAAAUGUAGAGAUCUGAACAGACAUUGCACCAUAGAAUACAGAUGGAUGAUAUGUAAGAACAUUGAAAGAUGUUCAACAUCAUUCAUCAUUAGGGAAAUGUAAAUUAAAACCACAAUGAGAUACUGCUACAUGCCUAUUAGAAUAGCUAAAAUUUAAAAGACUGACCAUACUAAACAUUGGUGAGAACACAAAGGAAAAGGAAUGCUCAUACACUGCUGCUGGAAAUAUAGCCACUUUUUCAGUUUCUUUAAAAGUUAAAGUGGCUGGGAGCAGUGGCUCACGCCUGUAAUCCCAGCACUUUGGGAGGCCAAGGCGGGCAGAUCACGAGGUCGGGAAAUCAAGACCAUCCUAGCUAACACGAUGAAACCCCAUACCUACUAAA